GAAUGUGUGAGGUGAAAAAGGAGAGGUUGGCUUCAUGCAAUAUCUCGCCUUCAUCAUUCCCUCCUGGGUCUUUAAGGCCAGACUCCCCGAGAGAGCACAGAUAAUGACUGAAAAUGAAAAGGAGAAAACUGCUUCAUGCAAUUUCUCCUGCUUAAUUGUCUCUUGGCUCUUUAUGGCCUAGCUCCUUGAGAGCAUGGAGAAUGUUUGCAGAUGAAAAGCAGAGAUAUGCUUCAUGCAAUAUCUCUCCUUUAUCAUUCUCUCCUGGGCCUCUAAGGUGAAACUCCUCGAGAGAGAGCACAGAAAAUGAUUGCAAAACAAAAGGAGAAAACUACUUCAUGCAAUUUCUCCUGCUUAAUUGUCUCUUGGGUCUUUAAGGCCUAACUCCUUGAGAGCAUGGAGAAUGUUUGCGCAUGAAAAGCAGAGAUAUGCUUCAUGCAAUAUCUCUCCCUCUUAAUGAAAACCUGGGGCUUCAAGACCAAACUCCUUGAGAGAACAGAAUUAGUGUUUGAAAAUGAAAAGGAGAAACCUGCUCCAUGCAGUUUCUCCUCCUUAAUUCUCCUUUGGUCUUUAAGGCCUAACUCUUUGAGAGCAUGGAGAAUGUUUGAGGUGAAAAAGGAGAGAGUUGCUGUAUGCAAUAUCUCCUCCUUAAUUCUCUCUUGGGUCUUUAAGGCCCAACUCCUUGAGAGCAUGGAGAAUGUGUGAGGUGAAAAAGGAGAGGUUUGCUUCAUGCAAUAUUCAUCAUCAUCAUUCAUCAUUCUCUCCUGGGCCUUUACGGCCAAACUCCCCAAGAGAGCACAGAAAAUGAUUGCAAAAAAAAAGGAGAAAACUACUUCAUGCAAUUUCUCCUGCUUAAUUGACUCUUGGGUCUUUAAGGCCUAACUCCUUGAGAGCAUGGAGAAUGUUUGCGCAUGAAAAGCAGAGAUAUACUUCAUGCAAUAUCUCUCCCUCUUAAUGAAAACCUGGGGCUUCAAGACCAAGCUCCUUGAGAGAACAGAAUUUGUGUUUGUAAAUGAAAAGGAGAAAUCUGCUUCAUGCAGUUUCUUCUCCUUAAUUCUCCUUUGGUCUUUAAGGCCUAACUCCUUGAGAGCUUGGAGAAUGUUUGAGGUGAAAAAGGAGAGAGUUGCUUUAUGCAAUAUCUCCUCCUUAAUUCUCUCUUGGGUCUUUAAGGCCCAACUCCUUGAGAGCAUGGAGAAUGUGUGAGGUGAAAAGGGAGAGGUUUGCUUCAGCAAUAUCUCUCCUUCAUCAUUCUCUCCUGGGUCUUUAAGGCCAAACUCCCCGAGAGAGCACAGAAAAUGAUUGCAAAUAAAAAGGAGAAAACUGCUUCAUGCAAUUUCUCCUCCUGAAUUGCUCUUGGGUCUUUAAGGCCUAACUCCCUUAGGGAUAGCAUGGAGAAUGUCUGAGGUGAAAAAGGAGAGAUUUGCUUCAUGCAAUAUCUCUCCUUCCUAAUUCUCUCCUGGGUCUUUAAGGCCAUACUCACUGAGGUUGCAGAAUGAGUCUUUGAAAAUGAAAAGGAGACAACUGCUUCAUGCAAUAUCUCCUCCCUAAUUCUCUCUUGGAUCUGAAAGCCCUAACUCCUCGAGAGAGCAUACAGAAUGUUUGAGGUGAAAAAGAGAGCUUUGCUUCAUGCAGUAGCUCUCCUACUUAAUUAAAUCCUUGGUCUUUAAGGCCAAACUCCUUGAGAAAGCAGAAUGAACAUUUGAAAAUGAAAAGGAGAAAUCUGCUUCAUGCACUAUCUCCUCCUUAAUUCUCUCUUGGGUCUUUAAGGCCUAACUCUUUGAGAGCAUGGUGAAUGGUUGAGGUGAAAAAGAAGAGAUUGGCUUCAUGCAAUAUCUCUCCUUCAUAAUUCCCUCUUGGGUCUUUAAGGCCAGACUCCCCGAGAUAGCACAGAUAAUGAUUGAAAAUGAAAAGGAGAAAACUGCUUCAUGCAAUUUCUCCUGCUUAAUUGUCUCUUGGGUCUUUAAGGCCUAUCUCCUUGAGAGCAUGGAGAAUGUUUGCGGAUGAAAAGCAGAGAUAUGCUUCAUGCAAUAUCUCUCCCUCGUAAUGAAAACCUGGGGCUUCAAGACCAAACUCUUUGAGAGAGCAGUAGUAAUGUUUGAAAAUGAAAAGGCGAAACCUGCUUCAUGCAAUUUCUCCUCCUUAAUUCUCCUUUGGUCUUUAAGGCCUAACUCCUUGAGAGCUUGGAGAAUGUUGGAGGUGAAAAAGGAGAAAUUUGCUUCAUGCAGUAUCUCUCCUACUUAAUUUACCUUCUGGGCCUUUAAGGCCAAACUCCUUGAGAAAGCAGAAUGAAUAUUUGAAAAUGGAAAGGAGAAACCUGCAUCAUACAAUAUCUCCUCCUUAUUUCUCUCUUGGGUCUUUAAGGCCAAACUUCCUGAGAGCAUGGAGAAUGUUAGAGGUGAAAAAGGAGAGAUUUACUUCAUGCAAUAUCUCCUCUUUAAUUCUCUCUUGGUCCUUUAAGGCCAAACUUCUUGAGAGCAUGGAGAUCUUUUGAGGUGAAAAAAGGAGAGAUUUGGUUCAUGCAAUAUGUCUCCUUCUUAAUGUAUAUCCUGGGUCCUUAAGUCCAAACUCCCUGAAACAGGCGAAUGAAUGUUUGAAAAUGAAAAGGAGAAACCUACUUCAUGCAAUAUCUCCUCCUUAAUUCUCUCUUGGGUCUUUAAGACCUAACUCCUUGAGAGCAUGGAGAAUGUCUGAGGUGAAAAGCAGAGAUUUGCUUCAUGCACUAUCUCACCCUCAUAAUUCUCUCUUGGAUCUUUAAGGCCAUACUUGCUGAGAUAGCCCAAUGAGGCUUUGAAAGUGCAAAGGAGAAACCUGCUUCAUGCAAUCUCUCUUCCUCGAUUCUCUGUUGAGCCUUAAAAUCCUAAUACCUUGAGAGAGCAUAAAGAAUGUUGGAGACAAAGAAGGAAAGAUUUGCUUCAUGCAGUAUCUCCCCUUCAAUAUUCUCUCCUGGGUCUUUAAGACCAAACUCCCUUGAGAGUGGAGUGAAUGUUUGAAACUGAAGAGGAGAAACCUUCCUCAUGCACUUUCUCCUCCUUACUUCCCUCUUGGGUCUUUAAGGCCUAACUCCCUAAACGAAUAGGGACAACCUUUGAAGUGGAAAAGGAGGGAUUGUCUUCAUGCCAAUCUCCUGGGUCUUUAAGACCAAACUCCCUGAGAGCAGACUGAAUGAAAAUGAAAAGGCGAAAGCUGUUUGACGCAAUUUCCCCUCCUUACAUCUCUCUUAGACUUUAAGGCUUAACUCCUUGAGGGAGCGAGGAGAAUAUUUGAGGAAUAAAAAGGAGAGAUUUGCUUCAUGCAAUACGUUCUUCCUAAUUCUCUCUUGGGCCUUUAAGAACUAACCCCUGCAGAGAACAGAGAGAACACUUGAGGUGAAAAGGAGACAUUUGCUUCAUGCAAUAUCUCUCCUUCUUAAUUCUCUCUUGGGUCUUUAAGGCCUAACUCCUUGGGAGAUCAGAGAGAAUGUUUGAAGUGAAAAAGGAGAAUUCUGCUUCAUGCAGAAUCACCUCCUUAAUUCCCUCAUGGGACUCUAAGGACAAAAAAUGUUGCAAGAUGAGGAGGAGAGAAAUGCUUCAUGCAUUAUCUACUCAUUAAUUUUCUUUUGGGUCUGUGAGGUCUAACAAAGAGAGAUUGUCAAAGGUGAAAGAGGAGAGAUUUGCUUCAUGUAGAGUCUCCAUUUUCAAUCAUACUUAGGUCUUCACGACUUAUUGCCUCACAUGUGCAGGGACUAUUUUAGGCAGAAAAGGAGAGACUUGCUUCAUGCAAUGUGUACCUAAUUCUCUCCUUGUUCUUUACGGCUUAAAUACUUGAGAAAGCGGAGAGAAUAUAUGAGAUGAAAAAUGAGAGAUGUGCUUCAUGCAGUAUCUCCCAUUUAAUUUUCACAUAGGUCUUCAUGACCUAAUGCCCCGAGUGAGCAGAGAGAAUAUUUUAUGUGGAAAAGGAGAGCUUUGCUUCACACAAUAUCUCUCCUUCAUUCUCUUCUGGGUCUUUACGACCUAAUGCCCCAAGUGAGCAAAGGAAAUGAUUGAAGAAGAAAGGGAAACAUUGGCCUCACACCAUAUCUCCUUCAUAAAUGUCUCCUGGGCCGUUAAGGCCUAAUACCUUGAGAGAGCAUAAAGAAUGCUUGAGGUGGAAAAAGAGAGAUUUGCUUCAUGCAACGUCUCCCCCUUAAUUCUCUUCUGGGUCUUCAAGGCCCGACUCCAUGAGCGAUCAGAGAUAAUAUUUGAAAUGGAAAAGAAGUUGGCUUCCUGCAAUAUGCACUUCAUAAUUGUCUCCUGGGUCUUUAACUCCUAAUUCCUUGGGAGAGCAAAGAGAAUAUUUGAGGAGAAGAAGGAGAGAUUUACUUCAUGCAAUAUCUUUCCUCGUAAUUCUCUCCUGGGUCUUCAAGGCCUGGCUGCUUCAGCCAGUUUGAGAUACAAAACCCACAUGUCUCCAUGUUAAUUCCCCUUAAAACCUCUGAAAGAGUUUUCACCUUUAUCCUCUCACACUACCUGCGAGGGACGAACGGCAUCAAGGCCCAGGCCUUCUGGGACAGCGAAUCAGAUGCAGGAACCCACAAAGGUUCAGCUCUGACUUCUCAACAGCCCAAGGAGAAAGAUAGGGUACCAGCCUUGGUAUAGAAAGGCUCUCUGGAAUGAAUGUUCAUCAGCCACAGAAGAAGAGAGGACGCGUGGAAAUCAGGCAACUGUCCGCGGUCCCUGUCACCACCUCCGGUCUUUAUGGCCCCAAAUGAGGGAGUAGGCAAAGGGGGCUUUACUUCACGUAGAAGUAAAUGUAGUCCCCUGCAGCCUCCUAGGAAGAUCUCUACCCUGGGUCUUCGACGCUCAGGUGCUGGAGGAAGAAAGCAGGGUCCCCUCCCCACCCGUCUUCCUUCUCUAUGGCUGGGAGGGAGAGAAAAGAGAAAAUCUGUAGAGGUUUAGGGGGCUGAAAAAUUCUAUGGCAUUGAAAUGAUGUCAGCUCACUAUUUAAAUGGCUCAUGCAUAACCCAGAGGUAAAUGUUUCCCUUCUUUGCUAAUCAUCUUUAACCAUAACAAACUCAAUUUUUCUAUCCUCAUCAAUGUUCAAUGGAAAAAUACUUUCUCUGAUUCAGUUAAAAUCAAGCUCAACCACCUGCAUUCAUUAACUCCACAUCAUUUCAAAACCCAAUAAAGUAGUUAAAUAGAUAAAUAAAUAAAGUUUAAAAAGCCCUAGGGAACCCAAAACUCAAUGAAAUAGUGUAAAAUUAAAACUAAUCAUUAAAAGUCAACAUAUAAAGCAAGGCAUCAUCGACAUAUAAUCAUCACAUAUAAUUCUCCUUUCCAUUGAAUAUUAGAUAUAUGGAAAUUUUUUGGUAGAAAUCAUUCUCUCUAGAUUCCGGAUUUGGAAGACGAAGCACGGGAAACUUGAUCUCUGCUUUUUUGGGCCAUUAUUAGCCUAAGUGGCUUGAGUGAGCAAGGUGACUAUGACCCCAAAGUCCUAUCUAUUCUACUGGAAAAGCCGGGAGCUUAAUGUCAUCCCAAUCGGAGCUCUGAAUUUGCUUUAUUUGAAAACUCUUGUUGUUUGUUGAGAAGAUCAUGACCUCUGUUUCUUUAACAUUGCACACGUAGUAUCAUGUCCUAACAGCCCGGAAUAUCUAAAGAUUAAGUCCACGGGCCAGGUGGAGAUUGUCAGCCUGGGCUCGGUCUUCCCCACCCGGGGCAGCGAGCACCGGGUCCCGACGCGACGCAGAGCAGCGGUAAGCAGUCUCCCCCGGGGACACGACAGAGCAGGCCGCUGGCAACGCCCAAACAGAGGUACGAGGGAGGGGGAGAGAAGAUGGGCCUGAGUGGCGUGCUCUUGCCGUAUCCCUGGGAUGGACCUGGGGACAGGGGAGAGUCAACUGGUUACGGUCACACCUGCUGAGCCUUAUCCAUUUCAGAAUUUGUGGGGAGGAUAUCUGUUCCCUCUGGCAGGAGAGUAUCAUCGGCCUUCCCGUAUCCUGGAAGAAUGAGAUGAAGUUACAGGAGGAACGAGAGAGCAUCCCCGGCUCAUGAAGGACGAGGCGUGUGAUUGGGUCUGCGUCGCCAGCCUGGCAGCUGUCCCUGCAGCCCCAUAUUGCAGGGGGGAUGCGGGGGCAGCCCGGUGAGGCGGAGCAGGGAAACUGGGUGCGAGGAGGAGGGGCUGGAGGUCUGAACAACUAAAUCGCACUAUCACUAGGUGCCCCCUGAUUCUCAACGGGAGCGCCACUGCAGGGGGGACAGUGGCAGUGCCGGGAGGGAGGGCAAAGGAGUAUUAUCCGGUUCUCCUGGGUCUCCCCUCCUCCCUGUUCUCCCCUUCUCCUCUUUACCUCCCCUUUUUUUCCAUCCUAGACCACAGCCCCCCUACUGUCCUGCUCUGGAAUUCAUCGCCUGCCUGCCCCCUACCAUCCUGCCUUGGAAUUCAUCGCCUGCCUGCCGACAGCCACCCCAGGACACGCCUGCUUCAUCAUUCCUGGGCACCUCAGCCAAGACAACUCCAGCCCCUCUCCUGGGGUGUGCCCUGGGGCCUCCAGCUGUCCCUAACCUUCUGCAGGGCCCCUUCUCCCUCCUCCUCUCUCCCCUCCACCUCCCCCACCCAGGACACACAUUUCCAGGCAGGCAGCUGGCCACGCCUAAACAGAGGUAUGAGGGAGGUGGGAGAGAAGAUGGCCCUGGGGUGACGUGCUCUUGCCAAAUCCCUGGGAUGGACCUGGGGACAGGGGAGAGUCAACUAGUUACGGUCACACCUGCUGAGGCUUUUCCACUUCAGAAUUUGCGGGGAGGAUAUCCGUUUCCUCCGACAGGAGAGUAUCAUCGGCCUUCCCGUUUCCAGGAAGAAUGAGAUGAAGUUACAGGAGGAACGAGAGAGCGUCCCCGGCUCGUGCAGGACGAGGCGUGUGAUUGUCUCUGCGUCGCCGGCCUGGCAGCUGUCCCUGCAGCCCCAUAUUGCAGGGGGCGAUGCGGGGGCAGCCCGGUGAGGCGGAGCAGGGAAAUUGGGUGCGAGGAGGAGGGCUGGAGGUCUGAACAACUAAGCUGCACUGCCACUAGGUGCCCCCUGAUUCUCAAUGGGAGCACCAUUGCAGGGGGGACAGUGGCAGUGCCAGGAGGGAGGGCAAAGGAGCAUUAUUGGUUUCUCCUGGGUCUCCCCUCCUCCCUGUUCUUCCCUUCUCCUCUUUGCCUCCCCUUUUUUUCCAUCCUAGACCACAGUCCCCCUACUGUCCUGCUCUUACAUGACAUGCAUCGCCUGCCUACCCCCUACCCAUCCUGCUCUGGAAUUCAUCGCCUGCCUGCCCACAGCAAUCCCAGGACACACCUGAUUCAUCAUUCUGCUGGACCUCAGCCAGGACAACUCCAGCACCCCCUCCCCGGCUGUCCCCUGGGGCCUCCAACUGUCUCCAACUUUCUCCAGAGCCCUUCCCCCUCCUCUGAGGACGGCAGUCCUGAACUGACCUGUUUUCAGCCUGACUUGAAAUGGACAACCCGGACAACAGUGGACAGUGGAAAACAAGCUUGAAGUUGGAAGAGGAGCGUGAACUGCUGAAGAAUACUGACAGAGCUCUCAGGGAAGAAAAUGCAUUCCUCUAGGAUCGGCUGAAAACCACUCAUUUAGAACAACAAGAAAAUAGCAAGCUAGCAAAGCCACCGGGUAAAUUAAAGCUGUGUGCUCACUGGGCCAGCUAUGAUGCUGAAUUUGCCAAGGCUUGGAAGGUCUUCUACCAAAGCUUGAACAGUGAAGGGCCAGUCCCUGCAGCUGAGACACUACAGAGCACCUGUACAUAGACUGGAAUUCCAAAUGGUUUCUCGAGGGCAGAGUUGGCUGUUCUGUUCCCCGACUUGCCACGAUAUCAGACAGCACGUGGAUCAUCCUGCAACAAGCAUUCUCAAGUUCCUGAAACCACCCCAGAUCCUUACUUGCCUGCCGUUUGACCUGGGGAGGACGACAGGCAGUUGCAUCUUUUUACUGAAAGACAGGCACAUAUGCUAAAGGCCUUUGAGGAACUGCUAGACUGAAGUUUCUCUGGAAACUGAAAAAGAAGAGAGAAAAUUCAGUGCCCAGCUAAUGUGCAGACUCUACUUGCCUAGCACAUCUUUGAAAGUUACUAGGCCAAUUAUUUUGUACAACUGAAAGACAUUUUCAAGCCCCCUCAUAUUCUGUUGGUAAACCUGUCCUACCCAAUUGGGAUCUUCAAACUUCUGUAAAGAUAAUACAGUUUAAGUCGUAUGCUUUAAA